UUGUUACGAAAAAGAAGAAAGAAAUUUAGAGUGAAGGAAGUACUCCUUUUCUUCAUUAGAAUUUAAUAUAUACAUUAAAAGGCUACCUUUGACUUAGCUUCGUCUGACUAUAGAGUAUGAAAAACAGCCUGGUAAUGACAAAAACAAACAGCUGAAAAGAGGGAGGGCUCUGUAAUUCAUUUUGUACAUACAUAUUGGCUAUUGCCUCUACUAGGGAGUGAUUUACUUUUUUAAAGAGACAGAAGAGGGGGGAUAAUUCCCGAUUAGUAAUAGUUUUGGGUUUAUUGACUUUUGGAAUGAGUGGAUCCCUACAGUGUUAUUAAUUGUUGUACGAACUAUAAGUAAGGAGCUUUGCUCAUAAUUAGUGAUUGGUUCUAAGCUUGGGCAAUCAAGGAAAUACAUUCAGACAAACAAACAUAUUUGUAGCAUAUAACAGCUUCAUCAUGCUCGUCGAAGAAAUGGAAGAGAAAUUUAAACGUAUCGUGAGUCACACACGCAACGAAGAUGUCCUAGGUGGCCUCAUCAUUGACGAAGAAGGUUCUGUUAUUAAAUCCACUUUGGAUAAUAAGCUAACAGAGACAUAUGCGGAUUUUAUAGCGGAAUUAGUGAGCAAUGCGCGUAAAUUAUUUCGGAAUCUUGAUGAUGACGUUACUUUCUUUCGAUACACAACAAAAAAAUUCAAUGUGAUGAUUGCCUUGGAUAAAUCCUUUCUUUUUGUUGUACUCACAAGCUCCUACUUAGCCUCCAACGUCAAUUAAUGAUUACAUUUUUUCUAAUUCAACACAGCCACUAAGCAAUCUCGUCUUUUACUCAUUAAUACAAACAUCUCCAUGUUCUAUGUUUUAUACAUGUGUAUAUGAAUCACCACAAAGUUUUCAUACCUCCUGAGGACAUUAACGUCGUCGUCCCAAGAUUCUUAGAUUGGAGAAUAAACAUACCAUUCUUACUAGUAUGACUAAUUAUAAUUUGUUAGUGAUGUUUGAAAUAAGAAGAAAAAAAAAAGAUCAACCCAUGUCAUAAAAUAUUGUUUUGUUGAUUUUUUUACCCUCUACUUAAUUAAUUUAUUUGCAUUUAAUCAUAUUAACCCCCUAAAAAACGCAAAUCACCCAUCACUUAUGAAGAACAUGCUAUCCCAUCCUCCCAUUAAAAAAUAAACUAAUAUCAAAGCAACUUGCAAUACGUGAUAAUGGCAUUUGAACCCUCGUGUUCGUUAAACAAGUAUAGAUCUAUAAGCUAGUCGAUUUGAUCUAAAAAAGUAUUUAAUAAUAGUCAUUAUUUCCAUAUACUAUUUACAAAAAUAGCACUUCUUAAUUAUGUAUGUAACAUAUUCUAAAUAUUUUUGAGGUACUUGUUUUUCAUAUGAAUCUUUAUAACGCAAUCAAUCAUUAACUCAUUAUCUGAAAAUGUAAUUCUUCUGUUUUUAGUCUCUCAUUGUUUUAAAAUUUAAUUUAUAUAUUAUGUUAUCUUUUAAUACAAAACAUAUAAUUUAGUAAGUUUAUUUUGCCAAAUAUGCGCCAUAAUUGUUUCUAUAUUUUUUUAUAUUUUAUGUUACUGUAUUUCUAUUUUAAUGUGUUAAGCCUUUUCAAUAAAACCAUUAGCAUAUCAUUUCUGACAAAGGGUUGUUUGUUAAAUGAAUUUGUGUCAAAUUUGCUCAGUAAUUGUAAUUCUUUGUUGUCAGUAAGUGUAUUGAUUAUUUAUUUUCAAUUAGAUGUUUAUUCAAUCUAUUCUAUUAGAUGAUAUUUUGUGUUAUACGUGUAAUUUCUAUGUUUUAAAUCUAUUUUCGCUAAUUCUCUUAUUAAAUCUAUCGUGAAU
rnacentral:lncRNA from 1 species